rnacentral:rRNA from 1 species
AGAGUUUGAUCCUGGCUCAGGAUAAACGCUGGCGGCGUGCCUAACACAUGCAAGUCGAACGCGCAGGGAGCAAUCUCUGUGAGUGGCGGACGGGUGAGUAACACGUGGGAACCUACCCUGUGGUGAGGAAUACCGGCGAGAAAUCGCCGACAAGACCGCAUAGGUUUGGAGAGAUUCAAACAAAGCUCGCGUAGCGGGCG